rnacentral:lncRNA from 10 species
GUUGCCUAUGGGCUCCAUUGCCAAUGGGGUGAUAAUGCCAGACUGAAACUCAGGUCCUUGCCUUCCACGAUCCUCCCUGGACCCUGACAGUGUGGAUGUGGAGGUGAUGCAGGGUAGCCUGUGCAAGCCCCACCCCUGCAUAGGGUCCUGUGGUCCUAAGAAUACCUGUCUCCCUGGACUCAGGGCCAGAACCUCAACAUCUGCUCUGCUCUGUGCUCUCUGGGGAGCAGCACCGGGUGAGCCCAAGAACAGGUGUGGUUCUGAUUAGAAUGACCCUUUCUUUUCCCACUCCCUUCCUUCCUCACGUCAGAGCCAGGCCUCUCAGACCAAGUCUAGAUCACCGUGACCAGGGACGCCUCGGAGUUCUGUGCCAGGAACCGAGCUGAGGAACUCAGCUGAGGAAACCACGGGAAUCUCAUUUGAAGAGGAAUUUGGCCCCUGGAGCCCCCUCCCCACUCACUGGUGGGAGGGUGCCAAGACUUCAGUCGCCGCCGCCACACCAGCAAACCCCAAACCACAGGAAUGCAAUGGGGUCACCUGGGGACAGAGGGAGAUGGAUGGACAGCGAGUAGGCAGUGAGCCCUUGGGCCUGCAUCGCAUGGGGUCUGCUAUUUUGUGACAAAAGCACUGGACUUGGUCCCCAGGCCUCGGUGUGGAUUCAGGCCUCGGUGUGGAUUCAGGCUUGCCACUCGGGUCAUGGGGUCUUGGGUGGUCACGUCUGUGGCUAACCACGCUCACCUGGCCACUCUGGCCUUUGGACCAACUCGGGCAAGGAGCUGAGCUUGACGGGGAGGGAAGCCACGGAUUGGGGUGGACGGAGGCGGUGAGUGAGAGUAGAGUGUUCUGGUCUCCAGGCUCUGCAGGCUGAGCAGGGGAGGCACCCAGCACUUGUUACCCAGGGAAAGGAAACUAUGUCGAUAAUGAUUUGUCAGCUAUGGGUCAAGGACUGCUCCAGGCACUUUUUUUUUUUUGAGACGGAGUCUCGCUCUGUCACCCUGGC